rnacentral:rRNA from 1 species
GUGCUACACAUGCAGUCGAACGCGAAAGUCCCCGAAAGGGAUAGUAGGGUGGCAAACGGGUGAGUAACACGUGGGUGACUGCCUUCGAGUGGGGGAUAACGUCCCGAAAGGGACGCUAAUACCGCAUAACAUCCUGUUUUUGAACAAGUGGAGAUCAAAGCUGGGGACCCGCAAGGGCCUGGCGCUUGAAGAGGGGCCCGCGUCUGAUUAGCUAGUUGGUGGGGUAACGGUCACCAAGGCAAGAUCAGUAUCCGGCCUGAGAGGGCGGACGGACACACUGGGACUGAGACACGGCCCAGACUCCUACGGGAAGCAGCAGUGGGGAAUUGUUCGCAAUGGGCGCAAGCCUGACGACGCAACGCCGCGUGGAGGAUGAAGACCUUCGGGUCGUAAACUCCUUUCGAUCGAGACGAACGGCUCCGGGUGAAUAGCUUCGGAGGAAUGACGGUACCGAGAGAAGAAGCCCCGGUAACUCCGUGCCAGCAGCCGGGUAAUCACGCAGGGCGCCCAACGCGUUGUCCGGCAAUCUCUCCGCCCGUAAAGGGCGCGUAGGCGGUGCGGUAAGUCACUGUGAAACUCUAGGCUUAACCUAGAGCCUUGCAGGCGAAACUGCCGUGCUUGAGGGUGGGAGAGGUGCGUGGAAUUCCCGGUGUAGCGGUGACCAUGCGUAGAUAUCGGGAGGAACACCUGUGG